UACGUAGGGUGCAAGCGUUAAUCGGAAUUACUGGGCGUAAAGCGUGCGCAGGCGGUUUGCUAAGACCGAUGUGAAAUCCCCGGGCUUAACCUGGGAACUGCAUUGGUGACUGGCAAGCUAGAGUGUGGCAGAGGGGGGUAGAAUUCCACGUGUAGCAGUGAAAUGCGUAGAGAUGUGGAGGAAUACCGAUGGCGAAGGCAGCCCCCUGGGCCAACACUGACGCUCAUGCACGAAAGCGUGGGGAGCAAACAGG
rnacentral:rRNA from 1 species